CGGUGGGGCCGGGGCGGGACGGAGCUGUGAUUACAACGAGGAGCAAAACCCGACGGACGUGCUCGGGAGCAGCCGUGCGGACCGAGCCACCUCUGAGUCAGUGCGCUGGGCGAAGGGCUGCGAUACUCACAGCGCCUCGGGUCGGCUGGGAGCCGCCUAAAGCCGGCGUCUUCCCGAGAGCAGUAGAGUAGAACCGUGGAAUAUCCCGAGCUGGAAGUGACCCACAAGGAUCAUCGGGUCCAACUCUUGGCCCUCCACGAACACGCCAACCAUCCCACCCCGUGCAUCCCUGGCAGCGCUGUCCAAUCGCUCUUGGAGCUCUGGCAGCCUCGGAGCCGUGCCUGUUCCCUGGGGAGCCUGGGCAGUGCCCAGCACCCUCUGGGAGAAGAACCUUUUUCUGAUAUCCGACCUAAACCUACCCGGGUACAGCUGCAGUCAUUCCCUUGGGUGCUAUCACUGGCCACAGAGUGCGGAGAUAAGAGCUGCCCCUCGGGAAGAAGCUGCAGACCCGUAAGAGUUCUCAUCUCCAUCUCUUCUCUAGCUGAACAAGCCCAGUACCCUCAGCCGCUCGUGUGGUUCAACACGGUCUUAGUGAAGAGCGCGGAGUUUCGGAGGCAGACUCCACAGCUGCCCAAGCCAAGCGGAUUUUCCGCGUUCCUGGCGCAGAUGCCGCUGGCACAGCAGGAACAGGGCGACCGAGGAGAACGACUUCCGCGUUCUUCGCUGCGGGGGCGCGCUCGGGCGGACACGGGCGGGGGUGAUACAAGAGUCACUAUAUAAAGAUUAAACAGUCAAGAGCCUUGAUGACUUCUGUGACCCUUGUUUUCUACUUCAGCUCUUCAGUGAAUUGACCAGACCAGAAUCAACUCGAAAAAGGGAAGAUGAAAUGAAAUGUACUGAGCAACCUAACAAGGAGGAGACAGAAAGGCACUACCACCUCUG